rnacentral:rRNA from 1 species
GUCGAACGAACUUCCGUUAAUUGAUUAUGACGUGCUUGCACUGAAUGAGAUUUUAACACGAAGUGAGUGGCGGACGGGUGAGUAACACGUGGGUAACCUGCCCAGAAGCAGGGGAUAACACCUGGAAACAGAUGCUAAUACCGUAUAACAGAGAAAACCGCCUGGUUUUCUUUUAAAAGAUGGCUCUGCUAUCACUUCUGGAUGGACCCGCGGCGCAUUAGCUAGUUGGUGAGGUAACGGCUCACCAAGGCGAUGAUGCGUAGCCGACCUGAGAGGGUAAUCGGCCACAUUGGGACUGAGACACGGCCCAGACUCCUACGGGAGGCAGCAGUAGGGAAUCUUCCACAAUGGACGCAAGUCUGAUGGAGCAACGCCGCGUGAGUGAAGAAGGGUUUCGGCUCGUAAAGCUCUGUUGUUAAAGAAGAACGUGGGUGAGAGUAACUGUUCACCCAGUGACGGUAUUUAACCAGAAAGCCACGGCUAACUACGUGCCAGCAGCCGCGGUAAUACGUAGGUGGCAAGCGUUAUCCGGAUUUAUUGGGCGUAAAGCGAGCGCAGGCGGUCUUUUAAGUCUAAUGUGAAAGCCUUCGGCUCAACCGAAGAAGUGCAUUGGAAACUGGGAGACUUGAGUGCAGAAGAGGACAGUGGAACUCCAUGUGUAGCGGUGAAAUGCGUAGAUAUAUGGAAGAACACCAGUGGCGAAGGCGGCUGUCUGGUCUGUAACUGACGCUGAGGCUCGAAAGCAUGGGUAGCGAACAGGAUUAGAUACCCUGGUAGUCCAUGCCGUAAACGAUGAUUACUAAGUGUUGGAGGGUUUCCGCCCUUCAGUGCUGCAGCUAACGCAUUAAGUAAUCCGCCUGGGGAGUACGACCGCAAGGUUGAAACUCAAAAGAAUUGACGGGGGCCCGCACAAGCGGUGGAGCAUGUGGUUUAAUUCGAAGCUACGCGAAGAACCUUACCAGGUCUUGACAUCUUCUGCCAACCUAAGAGAUUAGGCGUUCCCUUCGGGGACAGAAUGACAGGUGGUGCAUGGUUGUCGUCAGCUCGUGUCGUGAGAUGUUGGGUUAAGUCCCGCAACGAGCGCAACCCUUAUUACUAGUUGCCAGCAUUCAGUUGGGCACUCUAGUGAGACUGCCGGUGACAAACCGGAGGAAGGUGGGGACGACGUCAAAUCAUCAUGCCCCUUAUGACCUGGGCUACACACGUGCUACAAUGGAUGGUACAACGAGUCGCGAAACCGCGAGGUUUAGCUAAUCUCUUAAAACCAUUCUCAGUUCGGACUGUAGGCUGCAACUCGCCUACACGAAGUCGGAAUCGCUAGUAAUCGCGGAUCAGCAUGCCGCGGUGAAUACGUUCCCGGGCCUUGUACACACCGCCCGUCACACCAUGAGAGUUUGUAACACCCAAAGCCGGUGGGGU